GCGUGCUAUACAUGCAGUCGAGCGAACAGACAAGGAGCUUGCUCCUUUGACGUUAGCGGCGGACGGGUGAGUAACACGUGGGUAACCUACCUAUAAGACUGGGAUAACUUCGGGAAACCGGAGCUAAUACCGGAUAAUAUUUCGAACCGCAUGGUUCGAUAGUGAAAGAUGGUUUUGCUAUCACUUAUAGAUGGACCCGCGCCGUAUUAGCUAGUUGGUAAGGUAACGGCUUACCAAGGCGACGAUACGUAGCCGACCUGAGAGGGUGAUCGGCCACACUGGAACUGAGACACGGUCCAGACUCCUACGGGAGGCAGCAGUAGGGAAUCUUCCGCAAUGGGCGAAAGCCUGACGGAGCAACGCCGCGUGAGUGAUGAAGGUCUUCGGAUCGUAAAACUCUGUUAUUAGGGAAGAACAUACGUGUAAGUAACUAUGCACGUCUUGACGGUACCUAAUCAGAAAGCCACGGCUAACUACGUGCCAGCAGCCGCGGUAAUACGUAGGUGGCAAGCGUUAUCCGGAAUUAUUGGGCGUAAAGCGCGCGUAGGCGGUUUUUUAAGUCUGAUGUGAAAGCCCACGGCUCAACCGUGGAGGGUCAUUGGAAACUGGAAAACUUGAGUGCAGAAGAGGAAAGUGGAAUUCCAUGUGUAGCGGUGAAAUGCGCAGAGAUAUGGAGGAACACCAGUGGCGAAGGCGACUUUCUGGUCUGUAACUGACGCUGAUGUGCGAAAGCGUGGGGAUCAAACAGGAUUAGAUACCCUGGUAGUCCACGCCGUAAACGAUGAGUGCUAAGUGUUAGGGGGUUUCCGCCCCUUAGUGCUGCAGCUAACGCAUUAAGCACUCCGCCUGGGGAGUACGACCGCAAGGUUGAAACUCAAAGGAAUUGACGGGGACCCGCACAAGCGGUGGAGCAUGUGGUUUAAUUGGAAGCAACGCGAAGAACCUUACCAAAUCUUGACAUCCUUUGACAACUCUAGAGAUAGAGCCUUCCCCUUCGGGGGACAAAGUGACAGGUGGUGCAUGGUUGUCGUCAGCUCGUGUCGUGAGAUGUUGGGUUAAGUCCCGCAACGAGCGCAACCCUUAAGCUUAGUUGCCAUCAUUAAGUUGGGCACUCUAAGUUGACUGCCGGUGACAAACCGGAGGAAGGUGGGGAUGACGUCAAAUCAUCAUGCCCCUUAUGAUUUGGGCUACACACGUGCUACAAUGGACAAUACAAAGGGCAGCGAAACCGCGAGGUCAAGCAAAUCCCAUAAAGUUGUUCUCAGUUCGGAUUGUAGUCUGCAACUCGACUACAUGAAGCUGGAAUCGCUAGUAAUCGUAGAUCAGCAUGCUACGGUGAAUACGUUCCCGGGUCUUGUACACACCGCCCGUCACACCACGAGAGUUUGUAACACCCGAAGCCGGUGGAGUAACCAUUUGGAGCUAGCCGUCGAAGGUG
rnacentral:rRNA from 1 species